rnacentral:rRNA from 1 species
AAGCAGGCUCCAAAUGCCUGAAUAUUUUGUGCAUGGAAUAAUGAAAUAAGACCUCUGUUCUACUUUCAUUGGUUUUUAGAUCAAGAGGUAAUGAUUAAUAGAAGCAGUUUGGGGGCAUUAGUAUUACGACGCGAGAGGUGAAAUUCUUGGACCGUCGUAAGACUAACUUAAGCGAAAGCAUUUGCCAAAGAUGUUUUCAUUAAUCAAGAACGAAAGUUAGAGGUUCGAAGGCGAUCAGAUACCGCCCUAGUUCUAACCAUAAACGAUGCCAGCUAGCAAUUGGGUGUAGCUACUUUCAUGGCUCUCUCAGUCGCUUCCCGGGAAACCAAAGCUUUUGGGCUCCGGGGGAAGUAUGGUUGCAAAGCUGAAACUUAAAGGAAUUGACGGAAGGGCACCACCAGGAGUGGAGCCUGCGGCUUAAUUUGACUCAACACGGGAAAACUUACCAGGUCCGAACAUAAGUGUGUAAGACAGAUUGAUAGCUCUUUCUCGAAUCUAUGGGUGGUGGUGCAUGGCCGUUCUUAGUUCGUGGAGUGAUUUGUCUGGUUAAUUCCGAUAACGAACGAGACUCAAAUAUAUUAAAUAGAUGCUUUCAGGAUUAUGGUGCUGAGGCUUGUGUAGCCUUCAUUCAUGACUGCAGUAAAAUGUAUAAGUGUUUGAAUGUGUUUAUUCAAGUGGAGCCGUACCUGUUGGUUUGUCCCAUUAUAAGGACACUAGCUUCUUAAAUGGACAAAUUGCGUCUAGCAAUAAUGAGAUUGAGCAAUAACAGGUCUGUAAUGCCCUUAGAUGUCCUGGGCUGCACGCGCGCUACAAUGAAAGUAUCAACGUGUAUUUCCUAGACCGAGAGGUCCGGGUAAACCGCUGAACCACUUUCAUGCUUGGGAUUGUGAACUGAAACUGUUCACAUGAACUUGGAAUUCCCAGUAAGUGUGAGUCAUUAACUCGCAUUGAUUACGUCCCUGCCCUUUGUACACACCGCCC